CAGCCGCGGUAAUUCGAAGGAUGCAAGCGUUAUCCGGAUUCAUUGGGUUUAAAGGGAGCGUAGGUGGCCUUAUAAGUCAGUGGUGAAAUCUCUCGGCUUAACCGAGAAAUUGCCAUUGAUACUGUAGGGCUUGAGUAUAGUUGCCGUUGGCGGAAUAUGACAUGCAGUGGUGAAAUACAUAGAGAUGUCAUAGAACACCGAUUGCGAAGGCAGCUGACGAAACUAUAACUGACACUGAGGCUCGAAAGUGCGGGGAUCAAACAGGAUUAGAUACCCUGGUAGUCCGCACUGUAAACGAUGAUUACUCGCUGCUAGAGGGCAACUUUUAGUGGCUUAGCGAAAGCGAUAAGUAAUCCACCUGGGGAGUACGCCGGCAACGGUGAAACUCAAAGGAAUUGACGG
rnacentral:rRNA from 1 species